GACGCGAGAGCGCCGUAGGCAGGAGCGGGGGACCCAGGUUCUCCGCCGGACCGGACGGUACGGGCCCAACGCCCCGCCGCACGGCCCGGCUUGGGGUUAAGUCGCGUGCCACCACGGCACCGACCGGGCACUCACUCGGCCCGCACCCGACAGCUCACCUCGUAGGCGUCGGUGAGGAUCACU
rnacentral:sRNA from 2 species